GAUGAACGCUAGCGACAGGCUUAACACAUGCAAGUCGAGGGGCAGCAGGGGAGUAGCAAUACUCCCGCUGGCGACCGGCGCACGGGUGAGUAACACGUAUGCAACCUGCCCUUGUCAGGGGGAUAAGCGGAAGAAAUUCCGUCUAAUACCGCAUAAUGCUGCGGGGAGACAUCUCCCUGCAGCCAAAGAUUUAUCGGACAAGGAUGGGCAUGCGGCGCAUUAGCUUGUUGGCGGGGUAACGGCCCACCAAGGCGACGAUGCGUAGGGGUUCUGAGAGGAAGGUCCCCCACACUGGUACUGAGACACGGACCAGACUCCUACGGGAGGCAGCAGUGAGGAAUAUUGGUCAAUGGCCGGGAGGCUGAACCAGCCAAGUCGCGUGAGGGAAGACGGUCCUAUGGAUUGUAAACCUCUUUUGUCAGGGAGCAAAAACUGCCACGUGUGGCAGGAUGAGAGUACCUGAAGAAAAAGCAUCGGCUAACUCCGUGCCAGCAGCCGCGGUAAUACGGAGGAUGCGAGCGUUAUCCGGAUUUAUUGGGUUUAAAGGGUGCGUAGGCGGACAGUUAAGUCAGCGGUAAAAUUGAGAGGCUCAACCUCUUCCCGCCGUUGAAACUGAUUGUCUUGAGUGGGCGAGAAGUAUGCGGAAUGCGUGGUGUAGCGGUGAAAUGCAUAGAUAUCACGCAGAACUCCGAUUGCGAAGGCAGCAUACCGGCGCCCAACUGACGCUGAGGCACGAAAGCGUGGGUAUCGAACAGGAUUAGAUACCCUGGUAGUCCACGCAGUAAACGAUGAAUACUAAUUGUUCGGGUCAAAUGAGAUCUGAGUGAUACAGCGAAAGCGUUAAGUAUUCCACCUGGGGAGUACGCCGGCAACGGUGAAACUCAAAGGAAUUGACGGGGGCCCGCACAAGCGGAGGAACAUGUGGUUUAAUUCGAUGAUACGCGAGGAACCUUACCCGGGCUCAAACGACACAGGAAUGAUCUGAGAAAUCAGGCAGUCCUCCGGGACCUGUGUCGAGGUGCUGCAUGGUUGUCGUCAGCUCGUGCCGUGAGGUGUCGGCUUAAGUGCCAUAACGAGCGCAACCCCCAUCGACAGUUGCCAGCAGGUCAAGCUGGGCACUCUGUCGAGACUGCCGGCGCAAGCUGUGAGGAAGGCGGGGAUGACGUCAAAUCAGCACGGCCCUUACGUCCGGGGCGACACACGUGUUACAAUGGCAGGUACAGCGGGAAGCCACCUGGCGACAGGGAGCGGAACCCGAAAGCCUGUCUCAGUUCGGAUUGGAGUCUGCAACUCGACUCCAUGAAGCUGGAUUCGCUAGUAAUCGCGCAUCAGCCACGGCGCGGUGAAUACGUUCCCGGGCCU
rnacentral:rRNA from 1 species